rnacentral:rRNA from 1 species
AGGACGAACGCUGGCGGCGUGCUUAACACAUGCAAGUCGAACGGUGAAGCCCUUCGGGGUGGAUCAGUGGCGAACGGGUGAGUAACACGUGAGCAAUCUGCCCCCGACUCUGGGAUAACUUCGGGAAACCGGAGCUAAUACCGGAUAUGACGCACGAUCGCAUGGUCUGUGUGUGGAAAGAUUUAUCGGUUGGGGAUGAGCUCGCGGCCUAUCAGCUUGUUGGUGGGGUAAUGGCCUACCAAGGCGACGACGGGUA